CUGUCGACAAACAAACACAAAAACAAAAACAACAAGAACUGUUCGUUUUUUGCGGUUCAUAGCCCAACUCCCGGACGCCGUACCAGCAGCAUCCUCUCCGGUUCGACGAACGGCAAUCAACGGCUGAGAUAACGACAAACCGGACUUACAGGAAAACGGACACCAACGAUGUUCGAACAGCAACAUAUUCGCUGGGGAAGAAAGGUCCUGCUUGGAGUAACCUUCCUGACUUCCGAAUUCAGCAGCUACGAAAACGUUCAGGUAGAUUCGGUGGUGAGGAGCACCUCAUACGAAUCUGGUAACUGGAAAUUCGAUCAUACAGUCUAAACAGACUGGUCCUGAAUUGGAACCCGCCGCUCCAGGAGGAUCCUUUUUUUUGCACCCAACCACUGCUAGCCGAGGAGAUGGUAAUUAUGUUCAUUAUUAUUAUGUAAAGUGUAAAGUGAAUAAAAGUAUAACAUAGAAGUUAAUAAAAUGAAAAUAAAA